GACGAACGCUGGCGGCGUGCUUAACACAUGCAAGUCGAACGGAAAGGCCCUGCUUUUGUGGGGUGCUCGAGUGGCGAACGGGUGAGUAACACGUGAGUAACCUGCCCUUGACUUUGGGAUAACUUCAGGAAACUGGGGCUAAUACCGGAUAGGAGCUCCUGCUGCAUGGUGGGGGUUGGAAAGUUUCGGCGGUUGGGGAUGGACUCGCGGCUUAUCAGCUUGUUGGUGGGGUAGUGGCUUACCAAGGCUUUGACGGGUAGCCGGCCUGAGAGGGUGACCGGCCACAUUGGGAUUGAGAUACGGCCCAGACUCCUACGGGAGGCAGCAGUGGGGAAUAUUGCACAAUGGGCGGAAGCCUGAUGCAGCAACGCCGCGUGCGGGAUGACGGCCCUCGGGUUGUAAACCGCUUUCGCCUGUGACGAAGCGUGAGUGACGGUAAUGGGUAAAGAAGCACCGGCUAACUACGUG
rnacentral:rRNA from 1 species